ensembl:lncRNA
GGUGCGCGCGCCAUUGGCGGUACUUUUGACUCCGUGGUUCCGUAGUCUUCUCAGCCUUAGGAGCUUCUGGGCGCAAGAUGGGGCGGGCCGAGUUCCGUGAGCCCUAGAGGUGGCUUCUGCCUGGAGCGGAGGACGGAUAGCCCUGUGGAUUCCAGGAGAAUGCAGUGUGGAGACGAGGGAAAAAGCCUCUCAGCCUCCUGAACCCCACCGGGUGGCCUCCGCCGGGUGGCCCCCACCCCAGCACCUCUGCCCGCUCCGGCUCCUGGUCCCUGCAAUGGACCCUGGCACGGCUUCUAUUACAGAAAGAGUUUGAGGGUACUAGAUUUUUAUUUCUGUCAUUUUGUUAUAAACAUCUCACCAUGUAAGAUUAGGCAUACUAUUUCCAUUUACGGUAGUCUAAGGAAGGACAGAGCAUAAGUUCUUGGAUUCUAACCCCCCCCCAAAAUUAUCUAGAAACAAAUCCUAGAUGUUUGAACUUAUUCUUUUAUCAUUUAUAAAAUUUUCAAUUAAAAUUUUACUGGGGUAGGGGAGAGACUGCUAACUAAAUUAUACAAUCUGGAGGGGGGACAGGGUACUAGUUUGAAGUUUAGCUUUCCAGAUCUUUAUUUCUAUUUGUGUUUAGAAUCAUGGUGUAGAAAUGCUUCUGUUCAGCUCAUUAGUUUUUCAUUUUUGGGGGGUUUUUUUUGGUUUUUUGUGCCGGGGAUCGAACUCGGGACCUUGUGCUUGCGAGGCAGGCACUGGAACCACUGAGCUAAAUCUCUGGGCCUAGUUUUUCAUUUUUGUUUUGGGUUUUUUCUUCCUCCUCUUCCUCCUCUUCUCCAUGAAACCUUCCACGUUAUUCCCUUAGCACCAUUCUAAUAACAGCCUAUUAUUCCAUGGUAAGGUUAUGCCAUUUAACCUAAUUUCCUUAACUGUUCCCUAGGUGAUACUAUUUUGAUUAUUCACAAGUUUUUGUUAUUUCACACCAAAUUGUUUUAAACAAGAACAGCUGAUAAACACAUUGAUUAGUAUUACUCACUUUCUUGCCCACUUCCCUUUGAGGAACAGCUUGGUCACAACAGUAAAAAAAGAAGAAAGAAAAUAACAAAGAGCCAGUUGGAACCACAGCUCUGUUGUAAUUAAGAGUCAAAUUACUUCCAUGCCUUUUAAAUGUAUUCUAAAGAAACAGUUCUCAAGAUUAAGUAUAGCUGGUAGUUAAUCAUUUAGUGUUAAGGGUAUAUAAGCUCACAAAAUGAUGUGUUUCAUCACAGUAAAGCAAGUUCCUAAAUUUACUCUUUAUUGGCAAAUACUGUAAUGUGCUAAACGGCAAAUCUACUUUCGUGCAUUGGCAGUUUCAAUCUCGAAUUUUUCUUGGGUUAUUUCAUAGAUGAUUUUUUCCUAAUCCCGCCUUCUUUCUUGUAACCCUUUUAGGUAUUGGAUCUUCUUAACUAGUCCUCCAAUUUUGUGCAGUUAUUCCCUUUACUAUCCAUCUUUUAUUUUCAACCUACUAGUAGGUGUCUUCAAAUUUACCCAUAAAGCCCCUGUUUGUACCUCAAAGCACAGUGAAAUUCUUAGUAUAGCCUUUUUCUUGACAUCCAGUUCUUGAUUUAUGAUUGCCUGUUCUGGCUACUCAUGUAUCUCUGCCAAAAACAGUGCCUACCUGAAGGUCCUAGAAAAAUAAGAACAAUCCAGACCCAAAGCUAGUAUAAGAAAGGAAACCAUAGAGCAGAAAUCAGUGAAAUUGAAACCAAAAGCACAAUACAAAGAGUACAUUAAUUGGAGUUGGUUCUUCAAAAGAAUAAACUAAAUAGACAAACUCAAUCUUACAAAUAAAGGAAAGAAAGGACCAAAACAAUGCAAUUAAAAAUGAAAAAGGUGAAAUCACAACCAGCCCUGCCAAAAUCAAGAUUAUUAACCUCAAAAAUAUUUACACCAAUAAAUUGGAGAAUUCAGAAGAAAUGGAUAGAUUCAUAGAUAUACAUGAAUUACCAAAAUUGAACAAGAAGAUUAAACCCUGAAUAAUCCAAUAAAAGGCAUUGAAAUUAAAACUAAUUUUUAAAAAAACUACAAACUGAGAAAAACCUAGGUCCAGACAUAAAUACUGCAAAGUCUACAAAAAUUUCAGGGAAGAUCUAAUACACAUAAGCUCUAAUACCAAUGAGCUCCUCAGGCUCUUUAAUGAACUCAAAAGGGAAAACAUACUCCCAAAGUCAUUCCUGGAAGCCACCAUUAUCACCCUAAUUCCAAAACACAAGGAUACAACCAAAAAGAAGAAACAUUGACCUAUUUCCUUAAUGAAUGUAGAUGCAAAAAUCCUGAACAAGGUACUGCCAAACAAUGCAAAGAACCAUCAAAAAGAUCAUACAUCAUACCAAGUAGGCUUCAUCCUAGGGAUGCAAGGAUGGUUCAACAUAAGCAAAUCAAUAAAUGCAAUAAUCCCACAUACACAGAAGCAAGGAGAAAUAUCACAUGAUCAUCUUGAUAGGCAAGGAAAAAGCCUUUGACAAAGUCCAACAUCCGUUCAUGAUAAAAAUAACACUGAAGAAAAUAGGUGUAGGUCGAGUGUGGUGGCAUAUGCCUAUAACCCCAGCACUCAGGAAGCUGAGGCAGGAGGAUCAUUAUGAGUGGAGUCCAGUCUGUGCUACAUAGUGCAAGGCCAGCCUAAACUAUAUAGCGAGAGCCUGUCUCAAAAAACCAAAAAAAGAAAAUAGGUAUAGGACUUUAUCUCAAUCUGAUGGAAGCCACUUAUGACAAACCUACUGCCAAAAUCAUAUUAAAUGGAGAAAAAACUGAAAGCUUUCCCUCUAAAAUUAGGAACAAGACAAGGAUGUCCACUGUUACUACUCAUGUUCAACAUAGUAACUGACCAUUAGCAAGAGCAAUUAGGCAAAAAAAAAAAAGAUAUGAAUGGGGGAAAAGUAAAAUUAUUCUUAUUUGUGGAUGAUAUGAUCCUCUACAUAAAAGACCCCCCAAAAAUCCACCCAAACAACUCAGAAUUAAUAACCAAAUUCAGCAAUGUAGCAGGAUACCAAAAAAAAAACCACAAAAAUCAAUAGAAUUCCUGUACACCAAUAAUGAACCCACUGAGAAAGAAAUUAGGGAAAAAUAUUCAUAAUAGCACCAAGAAAAAUUAAAUAUUUAGGAAUUAAGCUAACUAAGGAAAUGAAAGACCUCUGCAGUAUUCUGAUUAGGACUGUACUCUGAAAAAGGAAAUCAAAGAAGGCAUCAGAAAAUGGAAAGACAUCUCCAGUUCCUAGAUAAGAAGAAUCAAUGUAGUCAAAAUGGCCCUACUUCCAAAAUUGCCCUAAUGCAGUCCUAAUGAAAAUACCAACAGCAUACAUCACAGAACUGGAAAGGACAAUCCUAAAAUUCAUAAGGAACUAGAAGAGACCCAGAAUAGCAAGAGCAAUCCUGGAUAAGAGGACAAGAGGGAGGCAUCAAAAUCCCAGACCUGAAGUUAUGUUACAAAGCUACAGUGAUAAAAACAGCAUGGACACAAAAACAGACAUGGGGAUCAAUGGAACAGAAUAGAGGAUGCAGAAAAACAAUCCUAAGCACAUGUAAUUAUUUGAUCUUUGACAAAAGGACCAAAAACAUACACUGGAGGAAGAAAACCUUUUUAAUGAGUGAUGCUGGGAAAACUGGUGUCUACAUGCAGAAGAUUGACUCUAGCCCCAUAUCUCUCACCAUGCACUAAACUAAAAUCAAAAUGGUUCAAAGAACUAAAUGUUAAAACAGAAACAAUCCGCUGGAAGAUAAAAUACGUAAAACUUGGGCCGGGGAUGUAGCUCAGUGGCACUGCACCUGCCUGGCAAACACAAGGUCCUGAGUUUGAUCCUGGUUAAAAAAAAAAGAUAGAAAAAUAAUAGGUAAAACUCUUAAAAUCAUGGGUAUGAAUAGGGACUUUCUUAACAGAACCCUGAUUACACAGGAAAUGGUACCAAGAAUCAACAAAUGCAAUCAUGCAAAUUAAAAAUCUUCUGCACAGGAAAAAACAGCAUAAAAAGACAACCUACAAAAUGGGAAAAAAUUUGCCAGCUAUUCCUUAGAGAACUACAUCUAGAAUAUAUUAGGAACUCAAAAAAAAAAUAGACCCUUCAAAAUAAAAUACCAUAUAUAACAUGGGCAAGUGAAAUGAAUAGAGACUUCUCAGCAGAAGCACAAACAUGUGAAUACAUAAGUGCUCAACAUCGCUGGCCAUUAGAGAAAAACAAAUUAAAACAAUAUACUGAGAUUCCAUCUCACCCCAGAAAGAAUGGCUAUCAUCAAGAAAUUAAAUAAUGGGCUGGGAAUUUAGCUCAGUGGCACUCCAUCUGCCUUGUAAGCUCAAAGUCCUGAGUUUGAUCCCCAGUACAAAAAAUAAAAUAAUAACAUGCUGGAGAGGCUGCAAGAAAGAAGUAACCCUUCUACACUGUUGAUGAAAAUAUAGAUUAGUACAACCAUCAUGGAAAUCAGUAUGGAGAUUCCUCAAAAAGCUUAAAACUAGAAAGACAUCAUAUUAUGCUGAUACAUGCAUAUCCCUGUUUAUAGCAGCACAAUUCAUAAUAACUAAAUCUUGGAAGCAGCCUAUAUGUCUACCAAUAGGCUAAUGCAUACAGAAAAUGUGGUACUUAGGAACAAUGGGGUACUACUCUGCUGUGAAGAAGGACAGACCUGAGUCAUUUGUAGGAAAAUGGAUGACCCUUGAGACCAUAAUGUUAAGUAAAAUAAACCAGACACAGAAGCUUAAACACCACAUGGUUUCUCUCAUAUAAGAAACCCAAAAUAUAAGUAAAAAGCAAAAUAAAAGAUCGAUGGUAGAAGGCAGAUAUUUCUCACACGCAAAGGAGAGCAAGAAAUGGAGGGAUGAGGCAGGAAGGGGAAGGGAAUGGAAGGAAAGUAAUUGUGUUGUACACAUAUCAGCUCCCCUCAGAGUGUAAGUAGACACUAUGUACUGCAAGCAUGUACUAAUAAAACAAUUUUUAAGUAGAAAUUAAAUGAGCACAUAAGUACAAUGCAUACAUUGCACAAAAUCGCUCUCCAUAAAUGUUUAUUGAAUAAAUGAAUGUUCAUACAGUGUUUUUUCUCCUUUAGAUUUUUUCAUAAUAUACCCAUAUAUAACUGGAUGCUUUUCCUGGCCUCCCUCCUUAGGGUGUGGCCUUUGUUGUAUAUCUUUUUCCAGCAGCUGGUUCAGUGCUCUACCCAGACUCGGGUAUUAAGCCUCCAGGCACUGGUUGAUUCGAGGCUAUUCAUGAUCUCAAGUAUUUACCAAAAGAUGUUAAUUUGACUUAGUUUUGAUCAAUAAUGCAAAGGUUGGAAACUCAGAUGCCUUUGGAGAGUCAGUAUUUAAUUAUCAGAUGUAUAGAGAAGGGUAAUAUAUAUAUAUUUUUUCUUGAAACCUAUACCCUUCCCAGGCUAUUUUAGUUCUUCCUACUUAAUACAGAGAGACAUGCUGGGACAUCUAGUUUACUGUAGCAAAAACAACAGGACAAUACACAAAAUGGCAGUUGGUGGUAUCACUGCCUGGCCUACAGUGGAGAAUGGCAGACAGUGGUGAGCCGGAAGUAGCUGCGAUUCUCAAGUGCAGGGCCUGAUAACAUCUACGGAGCAGGUGGCAUGAGUGGUAAAAGAACUUAGCAACAGACAGAAUACAGGAAAGGCGAGAUCCCUGAGUACUGUGUCCAGGACAGCAGGUGAGUUUCCAAGGGAAGAAUGGUGCAGUCAAGAUUGAGAGAUUGGGGUUUUCAUAGGGGAAAUGAACAUGUGGGAAGGGGGUCUGAGUUGGGAAAUGUAAGCAUCUUAGAAACAAAUUUCCCAGGCUGGGCAUGGUGACAUGUGCCUGUAAUCCCAGCACUCAGGAGGCUGAGGCAGGAGGAUCGCCAUGAGUUCGAGGCCAGCCUGGAGUACACAGCAAGACUGUCUCAAAAAACAAAACAAAUUGCAUUUCUCAGGACAUCCUGCUCUUUGUUAAUCUUUGAGGAACACCUGUGUUGUAACUAAAGUUGCACAUCAAACUUGGAAAUUAUCAAGGCCUCUUGCUUAGUCCUCAACAGAAGGCCCUUUAGAGUCCAACAAAGGUAUCUAUGUUUUAACCUUUUGGAGAAAGAUCUAGCAUUAGCUCAGGGGAGGAAAGGAUGGUUUUUGUAUUUACUUUUAUCUUGUGCUGUUUUCAGUCCUCCUUAAUGCAGUGCUUUAUGACUGUCCUGUACACACAGGCAGAAGUGUGUUGUCAGAAGAGAUUUGGGUGCUGAGUACUUUAACCCUUUUGUUACCACACAAAUGAAAUGGCCCUCAUUUAUAUUGGCUGAUUUUGGUCAGGCAUUAAUUUAGGCCCAGCACUGUGCUUGUGAGGCCCUGUGAUUUUUAAAACACAAGUUUAAAACCCAAAAUCUAACAUGAAAUCUCUCUCCUCAAGGUCUUGCUGAAUCGCUAAGUUGCCCAAACUGGGCUAAAAUUUACAAACUUCCAGACCUUCUGCCUCAGCCUCCCAGAGUUCACGGGGUUACAGGCAUACACCAUCAACCUGGCUCAAAAUUUUCCAUGUUAGCCAGAAGUGGUGGCGCAUGCCUGUGAUCCCAGCACUCAGGAGGUUGACGCAGAAGAUUGCCCUGAGUUCAAGACCAGUCUCAAUUACAUAGCAAGACCUUGUCUGAAAAAAACCCUCCCAUUUUAACACAAGAUUCUCUGUGUGUGUGUGUGUGUUUUACUGGGGACUGAACUCAUGGGCACUUUACCACUGAGCUACAUCCCCAGCCCUGUUUUCUAUUUUUCACUUUGAAACAAGGUCUCACUAAACUGCCUAGGCUGGCCUUAACUUGCCAUUCUCCCUCAGCUUCCCAAAAAGCUGGGAUUACAGAUGUGCACCACCAGGCCCAGCUACAAGUCAAUUUUUUUCAAAAUACUUUAUAACCUACCCAGGCAUGGUGGCACACGCCUGUAGUCCCAGCACUCAGGAGGCUGAGGCUGAAGGAUCGCCGCAAGUUCAAGGCUAGACUGGGCUACGUAGUAAAUUCAGGACCAGUCUGAACUACGAAGAGAGACCUUGUCUCAGAGCAACAAUAGGGCUGGGAAUUUAGCUCAGUGGUUUCACCACCUGCUGCACAAGCCCAAAGACCCAAGUUUGAUCCCCAGUACCAAACAACAAAACAAAAACAAAACAAAACAGAAAAGUAUUUUGUAAGCAAAUAAAUCAUGACUGUGACCAAACUUAGUCCAUAGGCCACUGGUUUUAGAAGUUCUGCUAGAAAUUUUCUGUAGUUAUUGCUUUUGUAAUUUUGUUAAAUUGAAAGCUAAAAUAAAACAUUAAUUCUAAUCUGAUUGCUAGGGUGAUAAGAAGCUUAAUUAACAAUGGAAAUGACCAGACUGUUGAGUUAAGAUUAACUUAAUAUUGUGUUUUAACAUAAUAACAGUAAUUCUGCAAGAAUCUUGCUUUAUUCAAUAAUUUGUAAUCUCAUUUUCUCAGUAGUGCAAAAUAAUUUAUGUGUUUUGUAUUUUUUUUGGUACCUGGGAUCAAACUCGGGUCCCUGCACUUGCACAGCAGGCGGUGUGCAAAAUAAUUUAUAAGCAUGACUAAUAACUUUUUAUUAAUCUAAUGUUUGCUUUAAAAGCUGGCUAAUGUCAUUCUAUAAUCAAUACAAUCAGAAAAUAAAAUCAAUUUAGUUUAUAACCCUCAUAUCUAUUUUCAGGUCAAUUUUGAAAGAAAAACUGUAAUAUAACAAAUUUAAACUUUCCUAGUAUUAAUUGAAUUUAUUGCUACUCAAGUAGUUUUCUUUUAUAUUAUCUAGAAAUGUAAGAAUUUUAUAAUACUGAUUGAAUAUGUGUUUUUUAUUUUAUCAAUCUUUAUAUUUGCAUUCUUUUUCUAAGCUGUGGAAAAUGUUUGGAAACAACAAACAUUGUUAUGUAUUCUUCAACUGAUAAACCUUCCUUUCCUGGAAAAUAUUUUAGAACCUCCCAUUAAAAUAUAAAAUCUGCAGGGCCAGGGAUUUAGCUCAAUGGCACUGUGCCUGGCUCAAAAGCACAAGGUCCUGAGUUCGAACCCUAGUACCAAAAAAAAAAAGCGCUACAAUUAAGUAAAGAGAGGGAGAUAUCGUUAUUUCUAACACUAGCCAAAACAGAAAGAGUUUAUAUCUACUUGAGUAAGAGACUAUUUUUAUGCCAAAUAAUUCAUAACUGUUACUGUUUGGGUCUAG